AGAGUUUGAUCCUGGCUCAGAACGAACGCUGGCGGCGUGCCUAAUACAUGCAAGUCGAACGAGAAAGACUGACUUCGGUUAGUCAAGUAAAGUGGCGAACGGGUGAGUAACACGUGGGCAAUCUACCUCUUAGACUGGGAUAAUCCUUCGAAAGGAGGCUUAAUACCGGAUAACACUGCCGAAUGGCAUCAUUUGGCAUUCAAAGGCGGCGCAAGCUGCCGUUAGGAGAUGAGCCCGCGCUCCAUUAGCUAGUUGGCGGGGUAACGGCCCACCAAGGCUACGAUGGAUAGCCGACCUGAGAGGGUGACCGGCCACACUGGGACUGAGAUACGGUCCAGACUCCUACGGGAGGCAGCAGUGGGGAAUCUUGCACAAUGGGGGAAACCCUGACGCAGCAACGCCGCGUGGGUGAUGAAGGCCUUCGGGUCGUAAAGCCCUGUCAGGUGGGAAGAAACCUGUCGAUGUGAAUACCAUCGACACUUGACGGUACCACCGGAGGAAGCACCGGCUAACUCCGUGCCAGCAGCCGCGGUAAUACGGAGGGUGCAAGCGUUGUUCGGAAUUAUUGGGCGUAAAGCGCGUGCAGGUGGUCGGGUAAGUCAGAUGUGAAAGCCUUCCGCUUGACGGAAGAAGUGCAUUUGAAACUGCCUGGCUAGAGUACGGGAGAGGAGAGUGGAAUUCCCGGUGUAGAGGUGAAAUUCGUAGAUAUCGGGAGGAACACCAGUGGCGAAGGCGGCUCUCUGGUCCGAUACUGACGCUGAGACGCGAAAGCGUGGGGAGCAAACAGGAUUAGAUACCCUGGUAGUCC
rnacentral:rRNA from 1 species